CCCGGAGCCGCUCCAGCGCCUGCCGAACGCCUCCCCGCCGCGGGGGCGGCGAACAUCGCGGCGCUCGGGGGCUGCGGGCACAGGUGGCAGUGUAGAAGCCAAGAACAAAAAUUGGCAGAAAUUGUGUUCUGUGUACAAGAGUAUGAAGAGUGUACUCAUGACUAAGCACAGGAACCUGGAAAACCACAGCCUGUGGAAAUUAGUCCAUGCAUCUGCAUUCCUGGAUUCCUGGGAAGCCAUGGAGGAUGAGACAAGCUCAAAGCUGGGGCUUGAGGAUUUUUUAGAACUGAUGAGUGGGAAGUUAUCCUGGUAAGAAGCGUCAAAGUGGAAUUAUCACUGUGAUCAUGGAUAUAUUUAUAGUCUUGCACUUCCUUUUCUAGUCUGGGAGAGCAGUUUGU
rnacentral:lncRNA from 1 species